CUUCCGUCAAAACCGGUUGGGGGGAAAUGAAAAAUUUCAUUUCCCCCCAACGCUGAACGCACCCUCCCUCUCUCUCUCUGAAUUCUCUCCGUACAGUCCCCGUCCCAAAUCGGCCUCCGGCGUCCGUCCCCGGUCCUUCACCGGAGUUAUCCUCCUCCGUCCGUCGGAAACUGCCGCCCCCAGCCCCUCUCUCUCUCCCGCUCGCUCCGGACCGCCGCCCGCAGCCCUCUCUGUCUCUGGCCGGAUCUGCCUGCUCCGUCCGUCGGAAACUGCCGCCCGUAGCCCCUCUCUCUCGCCCGCUCGCUCCGGUUUCGGUCGUCCCUGUCCCUGUCCCUGUCCCUCCGCUAGAGCAGGGUAAAAAACAAGGUACAAGAUGCCUGUUUGCAGCUUGGACAGAGUUCAUUGGAACUGCUACUGCUUCUCCACCAGUUUCAGUAGAUGUUGCCAGGCAGGUUCCAGUAGAUGUUGCGGGCAGAUGGUCAAAACACUGGGAACUUUGUUCAUUAUGCAUUUGAUUUUAUAGCUUUUAGAUUCUGAAUUAAUUGAAAACAAUGGCAGAAGGCAAAGAUUACUGUGAGCGUAAAUUCAACUUGCUGAGAUCUAUCUUUGAUCAACUUGUUGAGGAUGCUUGUCUAUGAGUAUGUAAGCAAUGGGAAUUUGGAGCAGUGGCUUCAUGGGGAUGUAAGGCCUUGCAGCCCUCCUACUUGGGAGAUUCGGAUGAAUAUCAUCCUUGGAACAGCAAAAGGGCUAGCUUACCUUCACGAGGGACUGGAACCCAAAGUUGUUCACCGCGAUAUAAAAUCGAGUAACAUUUUAGUUGAUAAGCUGUGGAAUGCAAAGGUUUCAGAUUUUGGCCUUGCCAAGCUCCUCGGCUCAGAGAGUAGCUACAUUACAACCCGUGUCAUGGGAACAUUUGGGUAUGUAGGGCUGUGUCUAUAUAUGAGUCUGCGUGCCAGUGUGGCUAAAGAGGCAACAACAGUCAUGUAGGGCUGUGUCUAUAUAUGUUCCCAUGUUGCUUUUUUAAUUAAAAAGCCAAGAAUUUUCAGGUCAACUUAGUUGAGUGGCUUAAGAAUAUGGUCGCUAACAGAAAUCCAGAAGAUUUUUUUUGUUUU